GUGUCGCAAAGCUUCGCAUCACUUUGUGACACACCUACUUUGCGACAUGCCUCUCACCGGCAGUCACGGAGAAACACACGAGAUAUAAGAUUUGAAUCUUCAACCAUGGCGGGUCGUGUCCACACUGUAAGUUUUAGCAUAUUUCAUGUAAUGUAAACGACUUGCUGCAUGUUGUUGUUUCAUAGCUAUGGUGAUAGGCGAUAUUAUAGUAUGUAAUAUUAUUUCAUUGAAGAAACAGAAGUACACCAGCCUGUUGCUGUGUAAACGUCACAAAAAGAAUGAAUGAACGUCACAGUGUGUGUUGUAAUAGGGUGACCAAACGUUCUCUUUUGUCUGGAUAUGUGUACUAUGUGUACCAAGGGUGUUUUAUAAAUUCGUGUAAAUUCUCUGCUGUGCUCAGUCCGUAUGUUUCGGUGUUUUAUAAAUGCUUUUCACAUUAUUUCAUAUUACGUAUUUAUGUAUUUGUCAAGUAAGACUUGAAAAGAGAGCUAUUAUUUUGUUAUAAGUUGAUAUGCUAAUACAGAAGAGGCAUUAUGUAACCGUAUUUUCUUUAAAUAACAGUGAUCUCUGGAUUGGUCCAGAGAGAGAGGUCCCUGGAUUGAAAAAACAGGCAAAGACAUAGAAGUAACAGUCUUCAAGAUUGCAUUACGUCAUCAGAAGAUAGGGAAUCAAGUGUUGCUGUGUCCCAAAAAGAGGGUGGCCUGCAGUGAAUAUUGUAACUAUUUUGCUCAGAACUUUUUUUAGUAUUAAUAUGCACCUCCGUAUAAACUGACUUGGCCCAUCAAAGCAACAUCAUGAUACCAUGAUUUUUAAAAUAAAUUGUAUUAGAUAAAUUUUGAUAUUUGUUCUAUUGUGGUGCAGCGGCUUCCGAGACAGACACAUGCAAAUGACUGUGGCAUUUUUAUGAUAAUGGUAAGCUUUCAAACAUGGAACUUUCAAAUUAGCUGAACAUAUUUUCAGUACCUUAACCUGUUUAAUGUUUCUGACACAGUACGCCUGGUACCUCAUUCUUGGUGCUCCAUUUGACUUCACUGUUGUAAGUUGAACCGAUAAUUUGAUCGUUACAGUUCCUGUAAGUUUGACAAACUAGUGUGGAUAUUUAAAGUAACAGCAACAUACAUGUACAUGAAGUUAAUCAUUGUGGAAUGUGAUCUUCCUAGAAGGACAACAUGCCAGUUCUGUGGAGAUGGUGGUGUUCCGUUAUUAUGGAAAACCUAAUCCUGGAAGGGCAUGGGAGAAGGUUUGCCCAUUUCACUAAGGAGGGAAAGGACAUGAUUUCUGGCUGUCUUUCACCUGUUUUCCAACUGAAGCGGAAAAGAACAGAUGAUGAAGACACAGAUGAGGAAGUGAAAGCGGCACAGCGGGUUCGCCAGCUUCACCGUGCUGAUCUUAUUGACUGCAUGAAGGGGAGCAUCUCUAUCAGGAGAAACCUAGAGGCUAUAAUAAGUGGAGAUGUUCCCUCAUCAUGGGAGCUCAGGAGAGAGAGGCCAACCCUUCACUUUGAAGAUGAGCAACUCGACCAGGUUGUCUCAUUCUUGUUUAAAUUAAUCAAGGAAACACCAGGAGCAAGGCAACGAACAGACUGGGUUGCCUUCAUUUUUGAUGUCCUUUUGCCAGAGGUGACAGUUCUGGCCGAAAGACAUCAACUGACAGUAUCAGAGGCUUUAGAAAGGUUCAGAAGGGGUCCACAAUAUGAACUAUGUGAGAUGAAAAUGUUGGCAAACAACAUGAUGAAAAACCUGUCGGAGGAGGGAACAGUAAAGCUGAAAGCUUUAAAAAAAAAAUAUGAAAACAGCCCUCUCUUCUGAGGCAUUCCUCCAGAGACUUUAGAUUUUUCAUCCUACACACACUCAUACAUCACUACUUUGUUGUACUUUGUUUUACUCUAUAUUUUUAUCCAAAAAAGUUCACUUGUUUAUUUGUCUUUUGGAUGAUAGAUUUCAUUUUUCAAAUUAGAAUGCUGACAGGAGCAUGUGCCAGUGGAUGCAAUGAGCUCUUAAUCAACUUUGUUUCUCAGCAGAGCAACACAUACUAUAAAGGUGAGGAAUGUAAUUCACUUCAAUUGUCAUGGUUUUAAAGCUCUGGCUGACUAUCAUUCUUCAUCAGUAAAUGAAUGUAGUUACCUGACUGUUGUGACGUAAUGUAAUGUAAUGUGACUUUUCUGUUUAUACAAUGGGCUUAUUUAGUUUAAUUUAAAUAUGUGCACCAAGUUGCAGUUUUAUUUCAAACAUCUGAAUGGUGCAGCUGGGUCUGUUGUGUUUACAAACGCUGCUAAAAGCGAUGUGAGCUUUAAGUUUUAAUAAAGCCACAGCAGUUACAAAUAACUUGUCACAUGUUUUCCUUCUUUCUUUAAGGGACCAGAACAGGUGUUGUACAAUGAACGUGGUGUUUUAGAUGUCAGUGUCAAGCAAAUUACAUCCAUGUAUUAUUAACAACUUUUAGAAUGACAAAAAGAAUCAUAUUGGUAUCAGGGGCCUAUUUCACGAAGCAGGUUUAGUGAAAACUCUGAGUUUGUUAACCCUGAAAUGAGGGAAACUCAGAGUUUUCCGUUUCACGAAGCGAGGUACCUCUAACCAGGGAAUGCGGGGUAACUCGAGCCUGUUUCACAAAGAGGGGUAACUUCAACUCUCAGUCAGUUACCGCAGUAACAGACUCUAUGACUCUAACCUGCUCGCCAGCAGGUUUAUCUGAGAAAACCUCGAGUUUCUCUCCGUCUCCGCCCUCUUUCAGCCACACACGAUGUUUCAUUUCCUCAUUCAUUCAGUCAGUAAGCGAGCGAGUUUUGGCGUAGAACAGCUUUUAUUAACAAUCCAGGGGAUAAAGGAGCAGCAUUACUGCACAGAUAAUUAAAUAUUCAUCGGUAGAUUGUUAUCAGACCGAGCAUAAAUGUUCUCGCAUUUCCGGACAAUUAUCGGUUUGAGCGGUACCGUUUCGUAAUCGUUUCAAGUCCAUAAUCUACAUAAACAACCUAAUCCGUCCUUACAUUUACAUUACCAGCCGCAGUCAUGCUCUCACAUCCAGCAGAUAUUGUGUGUUGCGCUGCGGUUCUUUUCAAAUGAAAGUUUUUAUAUGAUGUCGGAGAUGCAGAGCACUACAGUAAGACAACUGUAUGCAGGAUAGUCAGAAAAGUUUUCUGUGUGAUUGGCUGCAUAGAUGCACAUACUUCCCCAUCACAGCUCCCUCGCAUCAUGAAUAGGAAGUCCAUUCACAGCAUAAAUGUGCAGGUAGGCUACAGGUAGACUGACUACUGUUUCUAAAUGUUGAAGACUGCAUCAUAGUUCAACAUCUAUCAUUCUCUGCACUGUCCAGAUCAUAUGUGAUGCUGCAUACAUCAUUUCUAAUGUGGAGGCCACGUGGUCUGGGUCUGUUCAUGACUCCAGGAUUUAUGGAGAGUCUAACCUGAGCAACAGACUGCAGCGUGGUCAGCAGCCUAAAGACUUUCACAAUAGAAUUCUCUUGUCUCUGUCCUUUAAUAUACUCUGAUGUAUCCACUAUACAUUACAGGAGAGUUUGAUGGCCUUCUGCUGGGUGACAGGGGUUACCAUGCCAACCCCGGCUGAUGACCUCAUACCCUGACCCUGAACCAGGCCCCCAACAGAACUUCAACCGGGCUCACUGCAGGACCAGAGCCCGGGUGGAGAUGACCAUAGGCCUGCUGAAAGCCCGUUUCCAGAGCCUACGUCUCCUCAGGGUGACCCCUGAGAGGACCUGUGAUAUUACUGUCGCAUGUGUUGUUCUUCAUAAUAUUACCACUAUUAGAGGAGAGCAACACCCUGCCCUACAAACUGAAGACCCAGAUGAUGACCCCAUCCACCUGCAGCUAUCCAGGACAGCAGAGCAGUCAGAGACACCAUAUGCAAUAAUCACUUUACAGUUUAAGUCACCAUCAUCACCACCACAGCAAAUAAAGACAUGAUACACAUUGCA